GAUCAUAGCUCAGGACGAACGCUGGCGGCGUGCUUAACACAUGCAAGUCGAACGAGAAUCUGCUGAAGGAGGAUUCGUCCAACGGAAGUAGAGGAAAGUGGCGGACGGGUGAGUAACGCGUGAGGAACCUACCUUGAAGAGGGGGACAACAGUUGGAAACGACUGCUAAUACCGCAUGAAGCAUAGGGGUCGCAUGAUUCUUAUGCCAAAGAUUUAUCGCUUCAAGAUGGCCUCGCGU
rnacentral:rRNA from 1 species